rnacentral:rRNA from 1 species
AUUGAACGCUGGCGGCAGGCCUAACACAUGCAAGUCGAGCGGAUGAAGGGAGCUUGCUCCUGGAUUCAGCGGCGGACGGGUGAGUAAUGCCUAGGAAUCUGCCUGGUAGUGGGGGAUAACGUCCGGAAACGGGCGCUAAUACCGCAUACGUCCUGAGGGAGAAAGCGGGGGAUCUUCGGACCUCACGCUAUCAGAUGAGCCUAGGUCGGAUUAGCUAGUUGGUGGGGUAAAGGCCUACCAAGGCGACGAUCCGUAACUGGUCUGAGAGGAUGAUCAGUCACACUGGAACUGAGACACGGUCCAGACUCCUACGGGAGGCAGCAGUGGGGAAUAUUGGACAACGGGCGAAAGCCUGAUCCAGCCAUGCCGCGUGUGUGAAGAAGGUCUUCGGAUUGUAAAGCACUUUAAGUUGGGAGGAAGGGCAGUAAGUUAAUACCUUGCUGUUUUGACGUUACCAACAGAAUAAGCACCGGCUAACUUCGUG